rnacentral:rRNA from 1 species
UACGUAGGGUGCGAGCGUUAAUCGGAAUUACUGGGCGUAAAGCGUGCGCAGGCGGCUUUGCAAGACAGAUGUGAAAUCCCCGGGCUCAACCUGGGAACUGCAUUUGUGACUGCAAGGCUAGAGUACGGUAGAGGGGGAUGGAAUUCCGCGUGUAGCAGUGAAAUGCGUAGAUAUGCGGAGGAACACCGAUGGCGAAGGCAAUCCCCUGGACCUGUACUGACGCUCAUGCACGAGAGUGCGGGGAUCAAACAGG